GGAGGCGUUCAGGUGGCUGGUGCUCCUCCCGGUCUUCAAAACCGGUGUGGUCCGGGAUCCGGGCCAGGCGGGUUCGAUUCCCGUCCGUCUCCG
rnacentral:tRNA from 1 species